CCGGGAAACCGGGGCUAAUACCAGGAUGCUUGAUUGAACCGCAUGGUUCAAUCAUGAAAGGCGGCUUCGGCUGCCGUUUACAGAUGGACCCGCGGCGCAUUAGCUAGUUGGUGAGGUAACGGCUCACCAAGGCGACGAUGCGUAGCCGACCUGAGAGGGUGAUCGGCCACACUGGGACUGAGACACGGCCCAGACUCCUACGGGAGGCAGCAGUAGGGAAUCUUCCGCAAUGGACGAGAGUCUGACGGAGCAACGCCGCGUGAGUGAU
rnacentral:rRNA from 1 species